GACGAACGCUGGCGGCGUGCCUAACACAUGCAAGUCGAACGGAAAGGCCCGGAUUUUGUGGGCUGCUCGGGUGGCGAAGGGGGGAGUUACACGUGAGUAACCCGUCCCUGACUGUGGGGGAACAUCAGGAAACUUGGGCUCUUACCCGGGAGGAGCUCUUGCAGCUUGGUGGGCGUCGGUAAGUUUCGGCGGUUGGGGAUGGACUAGCGGCUUACCAGCUUGUUGGUGGGGUAGUGGCUUAACAAGGCUAUGAAGGGUAGCAGGCCUGAGAGGGUGACCGGCCACAUUGGGACUGAGAUACGGCCCAGACUCGUACGGGAGGCAGCAGUGGGGAAUAUUGCACAAUGGGCGGAAGCCUGAUGCAGCAACGCCGCGUGCGGGAUGACGGCCUUCGGGUUGUAAACCGAUUUCGCCUGUGACGAAGCGUGAGUGACGGUACUGGGUAAAGAAGCACCGGCUAACUACGUG
rnacentral:rRNA from 1 species